rnacentral:rRNA from 1 species
GACGAAGGGGGCUAGCGUUGUUCGGAAUUACUGGGCGUAAAGGGCGCGUAGGCGGUCUGCUAAGUUGGAUGUGAAAACUCUGGGCUUAACCCAGAGCCUGCAUUCAAUACUGACAGGCUAGAGUUCUGGAGGGGAUAGCGGAAUUCCUGGUGUAGCGGUGAAAUGCGUAGAUAUCAGGAGGAACACCGGUGGCGAAGGCGGCUAUCUGGACAGAGUCUGACGCUGAGGCGCGAAAGCUAGGGGAGCAAACAGG